CCUAACACAUGCAAGUCGAACGGUAGAGUAGCAAUACUUGAGAGUGGCGAACGGGUGAGUAAUAUAUCGGAACGUGCCCAGUCGUGGGGGAUAACGUAGAGAAAUUUACGCUAAUACCGCAUACGAUCUAAGGAUGAAAGCGGGGGACCGUAAGGCCUCGCGCGAUUGGAGCGGCUGAUAUCAGAUUAGGUUGUUGGUGAGGUAAAAGCUCACCAAGCCGACGAUCUGUAGCUGGUUUGAGAGAACGACCAGCCACACUGGGACUGAGACACGGCCCAGACUCCUACGGGAGGCAGCAGUGGGGAAUUUUGGACAAUGGGCGAAAGCCUGAUCCAGCAAUGCCGCGUGCAGGGAGAAGGCCU
rnacentral:rRNA from 1 species